GACGAACGCUGGCGGCGUGCUUAACACAUGCAAGUCGAACGGAAAGGCCCUGCUUGCAGGGUGCUCGAGUGGCGAACGGGUGAGUAACACGUGGGUGAUCUGCCCCUUACUUUGGGAUAAGCCUGGGAAACUGGGUCUAAUACUGGAUAGGACCAUGCUGUAGGUGGUGUGGUGGAAAGAUGAGUUUCGGUAAGGGAUGAGCUCGCGGCCUAUCAGCUUGUUGGUGGGGUAAUGGCCUACCAAGGCGUCGACGGGUAGCCGGCCUGAGAGGGUGGACGGCCACAUUGGGACUGAGAUACGGCCCAGACUCCUACGGGAGGCAGCAGUGGGGAAUAUUGCACAAUGGGCGCAAGCCUGAUGCAGCGACGCCGCGUGGGGGAUGACGGCCUUCGGGUUGUAAACUCCUUUCAGCCAUGACGAAGCCCUUGUGGUGACGGUAGUGGUAGAAGAAGCACCGGCUAACUACGUG
rnacentral:rRNA from 1 species